CACGGAGCUUGCUCUGUGGGAUCAGUGGCGAACGGGUGAGUAACACGUGAGCAACCUGCCCCUGACUCUGGGAUAAGCGCUGGAAACGGCGUCUAAUACUGGAUACGAGUAGCGACCGCAUGGUCAGUUACUGGAAAGAUUUAUUGGUUGGGGAUGGGCUCGCGGCCUAUCAGCUUGUUGGUGAGGUAAUGGCUCACCAAGGCGUCGACGGGUAGCCGGCCUGAGAGGGUGACCGGCCACACUGGGACUGAGACACGGCCCAGACUCCUACGGGAGGCAGCAGUGGGGAAUAUUGCACAAUGGGCGCAAGCCUGAUGCAGCAACGCCGCGUGAGGGAUGACGGCCUUCGGGUUGUAAACCUCUUUUAGCAGGGAAGAAGCGAAAGUGACGGUACCUGCAGAAAAAGCGCCGGCUAACUACGUGCCAGCAGCCGCGGUAAUACGUAGGGCGCAAGCGUUAUCCGGAAUUAUUGGGCGUAAAGAGCUCGUAGGCGGUUUGUCGCGUCUGCUGUGAAAUCCGGAGGCUCAACCUCCGGCCUGCAGUGGGUACGGGCAGACUAGAGUGCGGUAGGGGAGAUUGGAAUUCCUGGUGUAGCGGUGGAAUGCGCAGAUAUCAGGAGGAACACCGAUGGCGAAGGCAGAUCUCUGGGCCGUAACUGACGCUGAGGAGCGAAAGGGUGGGGAGCAAACAGGCUUAGAUACCCUGGUAGU
rnacentral:rRNA from 1 species